GCUCAGAACGAACGCUGGCGGCAGGCUUAACACAUGCAAGUCGAGCGCCCCGCAAGGGGAGCGGCAGACGGGUGAGUAACGCGUGGGAAUCUACCCUUGACUACGGAAUAACGCAGGGAAACUUGUGCUAAUACCGUAUGUGUCCUUCGGGAGAAAGAUUUAUCGGUCAAGGAUGAGCCCGCGUUGGAUUAGCUAGUUGGUGGGGUAAAGGCCUACCAAGGCGACGAUCCAUAGCUGGUCUGAGAGGAUGAUCAGCCACAUUGGGACUGAGACACGGCCCAAACUCCUACGGGAGGCAGCAGUGGGGAAUAUUGGACAAUGGGCGCAAGCCUGAUCCAGCCAUGCCGCGUGAGUGAUGAAGGCCCUAGGGUUGUAAAGCUCUUUCACCGGAGAAGAUAAU
rnacentral:rRNA from 2 species